rnacentral:rRNA from 1 species
GACGGAGGAUGCAAGUGUUAUCCGGAAUCACUGGGCGUAAAGCGUCUGUAGGUGGUUUAAUAAGUCAACUGUUAAAUCUUGAGGCUCAACCUCAAAAUCGCAGUCGAAACUAUUAGGCUAGAGUAUAGUAGGGGUAAAGGGAAUUUUCAGUGGAGCGGUGAAAUGCGUAGAGAUUGGAAAGAACACCGAUGGCGAAGGCACUUUACUGGGCUAUUACUAACACUCAGAGACGAAAGCUAGGGUAGCAAAUGGG